rnacentral:lncRNA from 1 species
GCUAGCCUGCAAUAUUCACCCCGGCCCACAAGCACACAUCCUCGGGGCGGAAUAUAAUCCUAAGGUACUAGCUUGCGCGUAACUUGACAUCAAACUUCAAUCAAUUCCUUUGUACUUCAAUCCAAUUAAUUGAUCGAUCUAGAAGAAAAAUCAAGUCACAGAUUUUUUGGGGGGUUUACUGAUCAAGACAAGGUUCCGAAUAUGCUAUUGUGUUCAGCCACUAUAUAUACGAAUUUUCACUUUCCAAAAAGAGCGAUGGAAAAGGCAAAGCCAGUUUCAUCUUCUGCUUCUGUAGCGGCAUCUUCUUCUAAACCAGCACAUUGCCAUUUGAAUAUCAACGAUAUGGAAAUGAAGGGACAAUCUUAGCUGUGAAUCAACCAAAAAACAAUUAGAAAUGUCUUUCUUUUGGUGAAGUGGAACAGCUCAUGUUCACAUUUUGAUAAAAAAACAUAUGAAUAUUUUCCUGCUUAUAUAUAAUAAUUAGAUUGAUCAAUUCACAUACUUUCAAGAAUUAGUCGAAUUGAAGCGACUUUGUCCUAGUGCUAAUUACUUACUGUCUGCUAACUUUAGUUACUGAGCAGAACUAGUUUACUGUACAAAUGAUGUCUAUGGCAUGUCAAAAAUGUCGUCUGCCACUGACACAGCCACCACAUAGUCAACGGCUUCGUUGUGAGUGUAGCAAUUUGAUUCAUCUAGGCAAUAGUGAUAGGUCACUGCAGGUCCAAGAACGCGGUAGGAUCAGUUCUAGAGUGAGAAGAUUUCAGGAUAAAUUUAGGAGAAAUAGAUCAAGAACUAAAAGUCUAUCCCCUUCUCCUAGUGUUAGUCCUCGUUUAUCUCUCAUUUUCACAAAGCCACCACCGAGCGGGAAGCGCGCAUUCCUUUGUGGAGUGACUUACAAGAAGGAGAAGUUCAGGCUCAGAGGAACAUUGCAUGAUGUAAACAGCAUGAGGGACUUGCUGGUCCAAAAAUUUAACUUUUCAGAUGAAUCUAUUCUCAUUCUAGCAGGUAUUCUAGUUUCUCUAUUUACUAUGAAUAUACGAUGAUGAGUAAGAAGGGCAGCCUUGGCAUAACUGGUAAAGUUGUUGCCAUGUGACCAGGAGGUCACAGAUUCGAAUCGUGGAAACAGCUUCUUGCAGAAGUGCAGGGUAAGGCUGCGUACGAUAGACCCUUGUGGUCCGGUCCUUGCCGGCACCCUACGCAUAGCGGGAACUUAGUGCACCCGGUUGCCUACGAUGAUGAGUAAGAAACAUUUUUAUAUCUUACUUUUGAAUGGAAAUAACUUGCAGAAGAAGAGGCGUAUAAACCUCCAACCAGGAGAAACAUAUUAGAGGCUUUCAAGUGGCUGAUGGCAGACCUUAAAUCAGGUGACUCGUUGGUGUUCUACUUCUCAGGACAUGGCUUACGACAACCUGAUUUUAAUGACGAUGAAACAGAUGGUUUUGAUGAAACAAUAUGUCCUCUUGACUUUAGGACUAAAGGCAUGAUCAUCGAUAAUGCCAUCAAUGAUAUUCUUGUUAAGCCUCUCAUUUCUGGUGUCACACUUCAUGCUAUCAUUGACUCUUGUCAUAGUGGAACUGUUCUCGACUUACCUUGGGUCUACAAAGAGUAUGUUCUUACCUUCCCAAAGUUAGCUGCUUUAUUUCUCAAGUAACUAAAUGUAUUUAUUAUGGCAGUUAACUGUAGCUAUCUUUUAGGAGACCUAAUAAUGUAAAAAUUCUUUUACACUAUCAAUAUAUAAAAGUUAAACACAGAUAUGUAUUGCCUGAACUUCUAGCCCAUAAGUUCAAAAUAUAAGACACCUUAGUGGGAUUAGGGAAGGUAGUGUGUACGCAGAACUUACCCAAUCUUGUGAAGGUAGAGGCUAUUUCCGAUAGACCCUUAGCUCAAGGAAUAUAAGACACCUUUGUAUGCAUUUUAAUCCGCUAAUAAUGUUACUGUGUGAUAUGUUAGUAAAAUUACUCUUCACAAUGUAAACUAAUUAUCAAAACUGUAUAUUGAAAAAAAUCUAAUCAUGACAUCUUUUUCACCUGGAAAUAGUCUGUCCAGUCACUGGCUCCAGAUUCCAUGUCUGUGUCUGUGAUUGUCUUGUCACAUAAGCAUAUCUUUUCUCAUACUUUUAGCUACGAUUUAUUAUGUGUUUUACAACCUUUUUCUUGGGAAUGAGUUUAAAGUUUAAACUAUAAUCUUCCACUAGUUUAACAAUAAAAAUGAGAGUAAUUAAUGGUAUGCAUUGUCCAACAAUUACAAAGCUCAGAUGAACUAAUAUUUUAGCACUAUUCUGAUAAUCAGUAGCAUUAUNNNNNNNNNNNNNNNNNNNNNNNNNCCCCACUAAGUGGGAUUAUACUGGGUUGUUGUUGUUGUUGUUGUCUAUAUCAGUUAUUUGACUCUUAACAGGAAUGGAUGGGCUGAUAACAGACCCCGAUCCGGCGCUAAUAAGAGCACGAGUGGUGGAAGGGCCAUUAGUUUCAGUGCUUGCAAGGAUAAUCAACUAGCCGCAGAUACCUCUGUAAUAUUUGUUUCCACCCCUUUAAUUGGUUUUUAUAUGAUUGAUCAUUGAUCUAUAUAUCCUAUCCUCAACUACCAUAACAUGAAUAUUAUGGCCCCAGAUUCUACAUAUUGUUAUCCUUAGACAGUCGAUAUAUAUGUAAAUAUCCUUUCCCUUCAUGUAUGCAGGCUUUCUCUGCUGAAAAAACUAUGACUGGUGCUAUGACUUGCACAUUUAUUAGAGCUCUCAGGGAAAAGCCAGAUAUAUCAUACCAAGGGUUACUUGAUUAUAUGCGCACGGCCAUCGAAAAGGUCAACAAUGCUAGAUGUCCACUGCUGAAGGUAUUCCAACGCAAGAUAGACCAGGUAUCUCAUCUCCUUGUCCGAGAUGCUCCAUCUCAAUGUUAUCCUGCAUCAAUAAGCAUUAAUUAUUUGUAAGGUUUACAGAAUAUUUUGCUUAUAUCUAUUUCUCUGAUAUGAUAUUGUAUUGUCACAUUUAAACCUUGCAGGAACCAGUGUUAUCAUCUUCUGACAAAUUUGACACUAAUACAAAGUUCAAGCUCUAAUUCUGCAGCAGAAAGAUGAAUGUGAACCUAUAUGUUUUCAGUUCCAUGAUAAAAGGAGGCUGCUGCUUGUUUCAUUCUUCUCUCUUAUGUUGUUUCCAUUUUAUUUAUCCUUCCUAUAUUUUUUAGAAAAGCCAAUCCAACAUCUUGUAUCAAAACUCUAUUUGGCAUUUUUCUAUGCUGACUAUAUCCAAAUAUUACUUGUGAGCUCUGAGAUAAUAAAUGACAGUUUUCAAAUAAAGAAUCGUGUUUUGAUGGCACCCUUUCCAAUUUAUAUCAUAGCUUUUUCCUAUCAGUAUAUGAAAUUUCCUGUUUCUAAGCUUUUGCCUAUCAGUAUAUCCUGCGUUUAUGCAAAGUCCGGGGAAGAAUCGCAUCCCAAGGGGUUUAAUGUAGGAAGUCUAUCCUGCCGCAAGGGGUAGUGGAUGAUUCCACGGUUCGAACCCGUGACCUUUAGGUUACAAAGAAACAACUUAACCGUUGCUUCAAGGCUCCCUUCUUUGCCUAUCAGUAUAUGUAAUGGAAAUUUCCUUUAACUGUAUCUUUCCAAAAAUAGUGCACUUGAUGCACGGUUCAAAUACAAAGUGAACUUUUCUGAUCAAAAAAUUGUUCUAAACUUUUCAUUUCUGCAUUAAUCAAAAGAGGCAACUGCACUGAGGUCCUCCGUUAUUCGAUCUUUAUGCCCUCUCCUCAUAAAUGAGGAAGCAAGCUUCUUCCUCUUAAAGUCAAUAAAAAUAGAUUCUCCUGCACUCUUCCUAGUUUGGUUAGCUUACGAAUCUUUUAUGCAAUUGGCAUUCCUCUUGCAGAUGAGUCUCAUCUAUUUCGAAAACAUUUUUGGCCUUAGAUGGUGCAAUUACUUGUUUGAAGAUUCUUCAAGGAAAACUCACAAAAAUGCCAAAUGUACUGCGACUCACUAAAAAUGAGAUGCAGAUUUUCGUCCCUUCGGACUUCAUUUAAAUUCGGAUAGAUGGGAUAGCUCUAGAAGCACGUAAAGGAGAUCAACUACACACAGACAAUUUAACGAAUUUCUCAUUCACUAGUUCGAGUUCUGCUUAUUCAUAAGAUGAAAACCUAAAUUGAAAUCUCAACGUUACAUGAUUGAUCAACCAAGCAUACUAUGUAGAAGAGUUCAUUUGACAAGUUCAUGCAACUAGUAUUCAAAAAUAUGUUAUCUCAUUCUGCCAUCCACGAGCUCCUCAAUCUCUUCUGUUUGUAAUCCAUAAAUAUUACUCCGUAUAAUCUGGUGGAGGCCAUUGGCCAAGAAGCACUUUGAUAAGUUGAUAAAAUACAGUUUUAAGUUCCAAAUAAUCCAGCUAACCCCCUCCUGCACGGCCAAAAUAAAGAAACCGGAGCAGACAGGGGAAAAGAAAUCUAUCGACUAUAGCAUUUGGAUAUCAAGACAAACUUUUAUUUUGGUAAAAGGGGAAAAUUUUACUUGUAUAUCACAAGAUAACAUGAAGAGAGUAUGAUACAUCUAGAAGGACUAGAUGAAGCUCAAACCAGUGCAUAUUAAUCAGUCUAGUAUUAUCGCUUUAUCAAACUAGUCUAUAUUAACUCGGAGUUCUUGUUUCUUUGGAUUAGACGAAGACCACAGAUUCAUUUUCUUAGUGGCUGCCAAUACUAAUUUUCUACAACCAAAGACGAAACAAGAUCAUUAAAGAAGAUUAUGUUCUCUAAAUUUAACAAUUGUCUAGCAAAAUUUCGGAUUCUUGAAAAUAUUAAUUCUUCAUGAUAACACUAAGAUGAUUCUUUGACUACAAAAGUAGUGAAUUAAUGCCCAUCCCACGAAAAAUUAGCCUAUAUUCCAUCUUCUAUAAGCAACCAGCAAGUUGGCAUUUAUCUUCUCAAAGACUUGGAAAAACUCUCUUCCUAUACUGUUCCAAUAUCCUAAAACAAAUGAUAUGACACAGUUGCGGUAUAUAAAUUCUGAAAACGUAGACUUCCGGGAAGGGUAUGGUACACGUGAACUCAUGGUCUUCUUGUCAAACUAGGCAUUUUAUGUAUAUAUUUCCUAGAGUUGAUAUAAUAUUAUCUGCUGGCUUCCAUGCUCCAAAAAGGCUGAAUGAUACACUUGGUCGAAUAUUGAGUUAUUUACCUAGAGGAAUAAGGAUUGAUUCCUGCUUAAUACUUUUUUUUCCUCUCUUUUUAGUGGUGCACUCAUUCUAGAAAUCCUAGAUCUGCCAGAAAGGGCAUACAAUGCAUUCAGAAGGGCAAAGUACACCGGGAAAAAGCAAAUCUCAAGGUUCUGAAAGAAUAUAAAACUCAAUCGUGAUAACGGAUCAUACCUUUCAUAAGAUAAAAGAUGAUUCUAUCAUGCCGAAAGAUGCAAAAUAGAUUGAUUCUUGUCUCUUCAUCACCACAUCUGGAAGAGAAUAAAAAGCUUUUUGAUGAUUUGAUAUACAAAGAAUAGUAAGUAGAUAAACUAAGCUAGAUACGCGUAUUACUUCUCUUAGAUUUCCCACUUCGAUAGAUACUUGUAUGGGUUAAAUUUCAUGAUAGUCAUCCAACUUUCAUUUUAUUGCACUAAAGUUA